CCCUACGGGGCGCCCCAGAUCCAGGUAUCCUUGUCGAUGCCAGUAACGGUUUCCAGUCGCACGGCUACUUUUUUAGGGCAAGGUCGUCUUCCCCUGAGGAUAUGGUUGAGAAAAUCAGGUUUGAUUUUCGCCAACGCAGCGAUCUGCUUUUGUGUGAUUCUCUUUUUGAUAGCACGCAUGGUCAAUUUUAUUAGGUUGGCGGCAAUGAUCUGUCAAUGGAAAAUCGAUACAAUUUUACCCUAAAUGCUUAUUUUUAUGAUAGAAAAUGAGCAAUUGCUCAAUAAGUGACCCAGGGGGUAUUUGUUUCGUGUUUGUGACAGGUCUCGUCAAGCCAUUGCCGUAGUCAGGCUCUACGAAUUCAUGACUCUCUUGCGGUCGCCUAUCCUAUGAGAAGUCGUUGGAAUUGGCGGGGGAGC
rnacentral:rRNA from 1 species